AGCGAACGUUUGCGGCGGGCUUAACACAUGCAAGUCGAACGAGAAUCCCUUCGGGGAGGAAAGUGGCGCACGGGUGCGUAACACGUGGAUAACCAACCCAUUGGUUUGGGACAACACCGGGAAACUGGUGCUAAUACCAGAUGUGUCGCAGCUGUCUUCAGGCGGUUGCGAGAAAGGCCCGCAAGGGUCGCCAACGGACGGGUCCGCGUCCCAUCAGCUAGUUGGUGAGGUAAUGGCUCACCAAGGCAAAGACGGGUAGCUGGUCUGAGAGGAUGAUCAGCCACACUGGAACUGAGACACGGUCCAGACUCCUACGGGAGGCAGCAGUGGGGAAUAUUGCGCAAUGGGCGAAAGACCUGACGCAGCCACGCCGCGUGAGCGAUGAAGGUCUUCGG
rnacentral:rRNA from 1 species